rnacentral:rRNA from 1 species
UACGUAGGGCGCAAGCGUUGUCCAGAAUUAUUGGGCGUAAAGAGCUCGUAGGCGGUCCGUUGCGUCUGCCGUGAAAACCCGAGGCUUAACCUCGGGCCUGCGGUGGAUACGGGCGGACUAGAGGUAGGUAGGGGAGAAUGGAAUUCCCGGUGUAGCGGUGAAAUGCGCAGAUAUCGGGAGGAACACCGGUGGCGAAGGCGGUUCUCUGGGCCUUACCUGACGCUGAGGAGCGAAAGCGUGGGGAGCGAACAGG